rnacentral:rRNA from 1 species
CAUGCAAGUCGAACGGAAAGGCCCCUUCGGGGGUACCCGAGUGGCGAACGGGUGAGUAACACGUGGGUGAUCUGCCCUGCACUUUGGGAUAAGCCUGGGAAACUGGGUCUAAUACCGAAUACACCUCAUGGGAUGCAUGUUUUGUGGGGGAAAGCUUUUGCGGUGUGGGAUGGGCCCGCGGCCUAUCAGCUUGUUGGUGAGGUUACGGCUCACCAAGGCGACGACGGGUAGCCGGCCUGAGAGGGUGUCCGGCCACACUGGGACUGAGAUACGGCCCAGACUCCUACGGGAGGCAGCAGUGGGGAAUAUUGCACAAUGGGCGCAAGCCUGAUGCAGCGACGCCGCGUGAGGGAUGACGGCCUUCGGGUUGUAAACCUCUUUCGCCAGGGACGAAGCGCAAGUGACGGUACCUGGAGAAGAAGCACCGGCCAACUACGUGCCAGCAGCCGCGGUAAUACGUAGGGUGCGAGCGUUGUCCGGAAUUACUGGGCGUAAAGAGCUCGUAGGUGGUUUGUCGCGUUAUUCGUGAAAACUCACA